GGAAAAAUGAAUAUAAUUGAUUUACUCUCUUAUUUACAAAUUGUUUCCACCAUUGAUGUAUGCAUUUAUAUAGUAGUUGAUUUAAAAUUUAAUGGUAAUAUCAAUUAUUAUAAAUGUUACACCUAACCAUAGUCCCUGGGGCCGGUUGUUCAAUUGUGGCUAAGCGCUAACCCUGAGUUAAAAUUUAACUCGCUGUUUUGGUUUGUGUAUUUCUACAUGCCUGUUAUUUCAAAACUUCAGAGAAGUGAACACUAGUCGACCCAGAGAAGAUUUCUGAAGAAAUUUUUCCAAAUUUAUAGACAUGCUGUUGGGAAGUUUGCUUUGAAUUUUAGUUUAACCUCUGGUUAAAGCUGAUCGACUUUCGAAGAACCGACCCCAGUAUUAAAUAUUGAUAUUGAGCUACAUAAAUUAUUAAUCAAAGUUGUUUAAUUUAAUUUAAUAGCAAAUCAACUGACUAUCAUCAGAUUCAGACAAGUGUACAACUUGGCACAAUAGACACUCUUUAUUUCGAGUAGAAGAGUUACCAUUUGUAAUCAUAUCCAGAGUCUGUGGUACUUGUGUUUUCCCUUCGUGUCCUAGAUUGUUGUGUUGGGAGAAGGAAGGUUUUAAGCAUUUCAUACUCCUUUGUGACUUCGUUCAACUUUUGCUUCUCAUUAGUCAGCUGUUG